rnacentral:lncRNA from 1 species
GUUGCAUCGGAGAGCGCUUUCAGUCAAGCAAGACUGCAAAUAGGUGAUCAUAGAGCGUCGAUAAGGGAUAGCUUGGAAAAAUCGGUGCUUUUUAGAGAUUGGAUCCGCACGGAAAGAAGAAACUUUGGAAUUGCAAACUCAUAACCGGCGAUAGAUGAAGCUUAUGAAGAAAUGAUAGCGGAACUUGCGGAGGAUUCGGUUUCGCCCGGAAGUGGUGAUGAACAAGCUUCUUUU